AUACGUAGGUGGCAAGCGUUGUCCGGAUUUAUUGGGCGUAAAGCGAGCGCAGGCGGUUUCUUAAGUCUGAUGUGAAAGCCCCCGGCUCAACCGGGGAGGGUCAUUGGAAACUGGGAAACUUGAGUGCAGAAGAGGAGAGUGGAAUUCCAUGUGUAGCGGUGAAAUGCGUAGAUAUAUGGAGGAACACCAGUGGCGAAGGCGGCGUCCUGGUCUGUAACUGACGCUGAGGCUCGAAAGCGGGGGGAGCAAACAGGAUUAGAUCCCCUGGUAGUCCACGCCGUAAACGAUGAGUGCUAAGUGUUGGAGGGUUUCCGCCCUUCAGUGCUGCAGCUAACGCAUUAAGCACUCCGCCUGGGGAGUACGACCGCAAGGUUGAAACUCAAAGGAAUUGACGGGG
rnacentral:rRNA from 1 species